rnacentral:tRNA from 1 species
GCCGGGGUGGCGGAACUGGUAGACGCGCCGGAUUCAAAAUCCGGUGGUGGCAACAUCGUGCGAGUUCGAUUCUCGCCCUCGGCACCA